GGCCGUGUGCCCGAGUGGUUAGGGGACCGCCUGCAAAGCGGUUCACAUCGGUUCGAAUCCGGUCGCGGCCU
rnacentral:tRNA from 1 species